rnacentral:rRNA from 1 species
ACGAAGGGGGCUAGCGUUGCUCGGAAUUACUGGGCGUAAAGCGCACGUAGGCGGCGAUUCAAGUUAGAUGUGAAAGGCCUGGGCUCAACCCGGGAACUGCAUUUGAUACUGAAUUGCUAGAGUCCAAGAGAGGGUAGUGGAAUUCCCAGUGUAGAGGUGAAAUUCGUAGAUAUUGGGAAGAACACCAGUGGCGAAGGCGGCUACCUGGCUUGGUACUGACGCUCAGGUGCGAAAGCGUGGGGAGCGAACAGG